AAAAGCCUAUUGUUGGUUUUGGUUUGGCUUUAUGGGUAGGUGACAUGUUUGUUAUAUUUGCUAUUUAGCCAAAAGUCAGGAAUUCAACCAACAAAUAACAGUUUCUGUGAUAAAGCAGUUUCUCUUCUAUCUUGAUUUGCUUUAUGAACUGUUUUCCAGGUGUGAAUUUUGAUACCACAACUGCCCAAAAAAAGGUGAGAACUGACUUAAACCACUGUUGCUUAGGCCAUGUGGCAAAGGGACUGAGAUUGGAUGCAGAAAACAGAAGUAUAUGUAGAGCAGAGGGUCUUACAACACUCACUUUAGUAGAGGGCAAUAACUGCCACAUGAAAUGAUCCCCUCAGCACAAAACUGUAAGUAACUUUGGGGACUUACAUGGAAUUUAUACAGUUGUUUCUGCUGUUGAUAAAAAAUGUCAUUUUGUUAUUUGUGGCCUGCAUGCUUAAAAAACAAGUUGCAUUGAAUUGUCAAGUUGUGAAUUUUCCUGAUUUGAAGGUUAGUAUUCAAGCCAAAAUUCCCCAAAAAGUAAUCUGGGAUCUGGGCCAUAGGAAAUGAGGCAAAGGUUACAUGAAUUUGGAUAACUAGGUUAGAACUAAGUCAUUGGGCCUUUGCCUUGAAGACUAAUUAGAGGACUUUAGUCUUGAAAUAAUAAGAAAUAGGGAGCCAUCAGAGCCUCUGACUACAAAAUAAUGGAAAUUGACUUUUUGGAAAUUAAAUGUGGCAAAACUAUAUGUAGAAACUUCUAAGAAUAAAGUCUGGGGCCAAAGAAACUGGGCAUGUGACUAUUAUAGUAACAUAGAAGUAAAGAAAACCUGACUGGAAUAGUGGCAAUAUGAAUGGAGAUAAAAGAAUAAAUUACAUAUUUUAAAAGAAAUAACUGUAGAACAUCAUAAUGGUUUGGAUAAAAGCAAGAUAUAACAAUUAUAUACUUUCUGUACUGGAAGAAAAUUGUAGUCUCAAUAAAAGAAAAAGGACAGUUGAGAUGCCAGCUUCAUCCAAUUUUCGUGUUACAUUUAAACUGGUAUGUAGGCAUUCAGUUUGAAAUGCCUUGAUUAAACGUUCCUGGAUAUACAGAACUGAAUUCUAACGUAAAAUUCAGGAGAAGUAAAUUUGGAAGUUAUUGACUAACUGAAGCUCUUUAUUAAAGACAAUGAAUCCUUAUGAAAAACUACAUACACACACAUAUAUAUACACAUACAUUUGUAUAAAG
rnacentral:lncRNA from 1 species